AGAGUUUGAUUAUGGCUCAGAGUGAACGCUGGCGGCGUGCUUAACACAUGCAAGUCGAACGAGAACGGAUUAUAGCUUGCUAUAAUUGUCAGCUAAGUGGCGCACGGGUGAGUAAUAUAUAGGUAACAUGCCUCUUACUAAGGGAUAACAGAUGGAAACGUCUGCUAAUACCUUAUAUGCCUUUAAUACUGAAGUAUGCAAGGGAAAGAUUUAUUGGUAAGAGAUUGGCCUGUACGGUAUCAGUUAGUUGGUGAGGUAAAGGCUCACCAAGGCGAUGAUCCGUAGCUGGUCUGAGAGGAUGACCAGCCACACUGGGACUGAGACACGGCCCAGACUCCUACGGGAGGCAGCAGUGGGGAAUAUUGGACAAUGGGGGAAACCCUGAUCCAGCCAUGCCGCGUGUGUGAAGAAGGCCUUCGGGGUGUAAAGUACUUUCAUCUGUGAGGAAAGGCAAGUGGUUAAUACACGCUAGUGGUGACGUUAACAGCAGAAGAGGAGCCGGAUUACUCGGUACCAGCAGCGGUGAUAAUAGCGAGGCUACGAGUGUUAAUGGGAAUUACUGGGAAUAGAGCGCGAGUAGGUGGUUCAGUCAGUCAGAUGAGAUAGCUCGGUGCUCAACUUGGGAACUGCACAUGAUACUGAUGAGCUAGAGUACAGUAGAGGAUAGUGGAUCUGCCGGUGUAGCGGUGAAAUGCGAGAUGAUAGGAAGGAACGCCAGUGGAGAAGGUGACUACGUGGACAGAUACUGACACUGAGGUGAGAGAAGCGUGAGCAGCCAACAGGAUUAUGAUACCGUGGUAGUCCACGCAGUAAACGAUCUCAAGUAGCCGUCGGGGGACUCGAUCCAUUAGAUGGCGAAGCUAACGCGAUAAGUUGACCGCGUGGAGAGUACGGCCGCAAGGUUAAUACUCAAGAUGAAUUGACGGGGGCCCGCACAAGCGGUGGAGCAUGUGGUAUAAUUAGAAGCAACGAGAAGCACCUUACGUCCUCUAGACAUCCAGAGAACUUUCCAGAGAUGGAUGGGUGCGUUCGGGAAAUCUGAGACAGGUGUGGCACGGCUGUGGUCAGAUCGUGUUGUGAAAUGUUGGGUUAAGUCCCGUAACGAGAGCACCCCUUAUCCUUAUAGGCCAGCGCGUAAUGUCGGGAACUUUAAGGCGACUGCCGGUGACAAACCGGAGGAAGGUGGGGAUGACGUCAAGUCAUCAUGGCCCUUACGAGUAGGGCUACACACGUGCUACAAUGGCCGGUACAGAGGGCAGCAAACUCGCGAGAGUAAGCUAAUCUCACAAAACCGGUUGUAGUCCGGAUCGCAUUCUGCAAUUGGAUAGCGGGAAGUCGGAAUCGUUAGUAUUCGUGAUUCAGAAUGUCACGGUGAAUACGUUCCCGGGCCUUGCACUCACCCCCGUC
rnacentral:rRNA from 1 species